GUGGAUUUGAGACGUAACAGUUUGUCAAAACUUUGAUGAGAUUGGAGGAUCGAGCUUUACCUGUAACAGCUGUGACAUCAUAUCCUGUUUCCUCUGCAGGUGAAUGCAGCUGUUAACAGUUUAUUGGCUCCUGGAUCAGCGACCAACACGCUCACACCGACUGUCAUCACCUCCCAUGCUCUGACUCCGGUCCUGUUGACUCCCAGUCCUCUUCCAUCCACCAUCCACUUCUGGAGCACGCUGAGUCCCAUCGCUCCUCGGUCUCCGGCCAAACUCUCCUUCCAGGUAAUAGACCGAGCCGCUGCACAUCUCACUGAGGACAGCAGGUUUGAUUCAAACUGAGUAAAUGAAUCAAUCUUUAUUUCAAACAUGGAAAAACAACAACGACUAUAUAAAAUCUAUACAUUAAUCUCAAUAAAGAAAUACUCCAGCCACUUAAACUUGAA